CAAAAUGCAGAAACGCAGCUUCAGUCUCGUACAGACCGUUGCUACAGCCGGUAUGGGUUCAUGUUUGGCAGAGAAUCAGCGCGCAAGGAGCUCGGUGAUCUGAUUGAAAGCCUCCGCGGCACUGGCUCCGGUCCUUCUCCGCCCUCGCCGGAAAACUCCUAGAAUGGUUACCAAUUGCAACUCAAUCUUCCAGAAUACUAAUUUUCUACCAAUAACAAUGUUUGUAUUUAGUACUCUGUCAUUUUCAUGUGUAUCUCAUGAAUUAAAUGGUUUCGCCUCUCUGAGAAUUAGAAUUCGAUCCUGGAAGUAAAGUAACUUUAGAUUGAUUUUACCAACAUUUUACACGGGGUUUGGUUUCUCAAUCUGGAGUAUUGUUUGCGAUUUUCCGUUGUAUAUGCUGCUAAACGUAUACAUUUAUACUCCAUCCGUUCCUUGUUA